AUUGAACGCUGGCUGCAGGCCUAACACAUGCAAGUCGAGCGGAGCGGCCGCCGGGUGCGUAAUUCCUAGGAAUCUGCCUGGUCUUGGGGUAUCUCGUCCGGAACCGGGCGCUAAUCCCGCAUCCUAUUAUAUCAGCCUUGGUCGGAUUAGCUAGUUGGUGGGGUAAAGGCCUACCAGGGCGACGAUCCGUAACUGGUCUGAGAGGAUGAUCAGUCACACUGGAACUGAGACACGGUCCAGACUCCUACGGGAGGCAGCAGUGGGGAAUAGUGGACAAUGGGAGAAAGCCUGAUCCAGACAUGCCGCGUGUGUGAAGAAGGGCUUCGGAUUGUAAAGCACUUUAAGUUGGGAGGCGGUACCAACAGAAUAAGCACCGGCUAACUUCGUGCCAGCCGCCGCGGUAAUAC
rnacentral:rRNA from 1 species